GGUCCCCGAUGAUGUCAGCACUGGGCUCUGAACUCCUGUGAGGACAUGGUGCCUCCUGGGGACUUGACACCCUGGGGGCUGAGGGGCCA
rnacentral:snoRNA from 1 species